GGACACCGUGAACACUUCUGUUGCAGGGACAUGUUGACACAGCACUUCUGAGGAGAUGUAGACAACAUGAUGGCUCCACUUAGGGAACAAGGUUGCUGACUCAAAUAAGGACUGGGAUGGGAUCUCCCAAAGCAGCAGUCAUCCUUUGAAGACAACAUAUUCCACAACCACUUUUAGCAUGCAUGUACAGAAUAGUCUGUCCAUCCCUGCUCCUCACAUACAGAAUGACCUUGAGUGAAAAUUCCUGCACUGCUUUCACCACAGCUCCUCAAGGACUUAACAAUGCUACAGAAAAAGUCAGCAAAGCUGAGUUCUUUCGGGGAAAUCCUGUCAUCUGCAGAAAGGGAGACAAAACCAGAUCUCCCUUUCUCUCACUCACCACAAAAGCAUGGGAGACAUGGUCCAAUGCUCUGGCACUGGAGCAGGUACUGAACACUAAUUAAUUACAACAUGAUGGGGAUUUGCCAAAAAAAUCUGUUCCAAUUAAAAUCUUUCAACACAAAU